rnacentral:rRNA from 1 species
UAGUCCACGCUGUAAACGAUGAUCACUCGAUAUUGGCAAUAUACAGUCAGUGUCCAAGCGAAAGCAUUAAGUGAUCCACCUGGGGAGUACGUUCGCAAGAAUGAAACUCAAAGGAAUUGACGGGGGCCCGCACAAGCGGUGGAGCAUGUGGUUUAAUUCGAUGAUACGCGAGGAACCUUACCAAGGCUUAAAUGCAGAACGACAUCCCGGGAAACCGGGACUUCUUCGGACGGUCUGCAAGGUGCUGCAUGGUUGUCGUCAGCUCGUGCCGUGAGGUGUCGGGUUAAGUCCCAUAACGAGCGCAACCCCUAUCCUUAGUUGCCAGCAUGUAAUGAUGGGGACUCUAAGGAAACUGCCCGUGCAAACGGUGAGGAAGGUGGGGAUGACGUCAAAUCAUCACGGCCCUUACGUCUUGGGCUACACACGUGCUACAAUGGUUAGUACAGAGAGCAGCCACUUGGUGGCAAGGAGCAAAUCUCAAAAGCUAAAUCUCAGUUCGGAUU